rnacentral:rRNA from 1 species
GACGAACGCUGGCGGCGUGCUUAACACAUGCAAGUCGAACGGAAAGGCCCUGCUUUUGUGGGGUGCUCGAGUGGCGAACGGGUGAGUAACACGUGAGUAACCUGCCCUUGACUUUGGGAUAACUUCAGGAAACUGGGGCUAAUACCGGAUAGGAGCUCCUGCUGCAUGGUGUGGGUUGGAAAGUUUCGGCGGUUGGGGAUGGACUCGCGGCUUAUCAGCUUGUUGGUGGGGUAGUGGCUUACCAAGGCUUUGACGGGUAGCCGGCCUGAGAGGGUGACCGGCGACAUUGGGACUGAGAUACGGCCCAGACUCCUACGGGAGGCAGCAGUGGGGAAUAUUGCAAAAGGGGAGGAAGCCUGAUGCAGAAACGCAGCGUGCGGGAUGACGGCCUUCGGGUUGUAAACAGCUUUCGAAUGUGACGAAGCGUGAGUGACGGUAAUGGGUAAAGAAGCACCGGCUAACUACGUG